CUAGCCGUAAACGAUGCGGACUGGGUGUUGGGAUGGCUUUGAGCUGUUCCGGUGCCGAAGGGAAGCUGUUAAGUCCGCCGCCUGGGAAGUACGGUCGCAAGACUGAAACUUAAAGGAAUU
rnacentral:rRNA from 1 species